GGGGGCAUAGAGGAGAGGGGGACAUUGGGGGUCUAUGGGGGGGCAUUGGGGGGCACAGGAGGUGGCAAUAGGGACACGUGGGGGUCUAUGGGGACAGUGAUAGGGACAUAUGGGGGUCCAUGGGGACAUUGGAGGUGACAGAGGGGACAUUGGGGGUGGCAAUAGGGACACAUGGGGGUCUAUGGGGGCAGUGAUAGGGAUAAAUGGGGGUCCAUGGGGACAUUGAGGUGACAAUAGGGACACUGGAGGUGACAAUAGGGACACGUGGGGGUCUAUGGGGACAGUGAUAGGGACACAUGGGGGUCUAUGGGGAUGCUGGAGGUGACAGAGGGGACAUUGGGGGUGGCAAUAGGGACACGUGGUGGUCUAUGGGGGCAGUGAUAGGGAUAAAUGGGGGUCCAUGGGGACACUGAGGUGACAGAGGGGACACAGGAGGUGGCAAUAGGGACAUGUGGGGGUCUAUGGGGACAGUGAUGGGGACACUUGGGGGUCUAUGGGGAUGCUGGAGGUGACAGAGGGGACAUUGGGGGUGGCAAUAGGGACACGUGGUGGUCUAUGGGGACAGUGAUAGGGAUAAAUGGGGGUCCAUGGGGACACUGAGGUGACAGAGGGGACACAGGAGGUGACAAUAGGGACACGUGGGGGUCCAUGGGGACAGUGAUAGGGACAUAUCGGGGUCUAUGGGGACAUUGGAGGUGACAGAGGGGACAUUUGGGGACACAGGAGGGACACGUGGGGGUCUGUGGGGACACUGGAGGUGACAAUAGGGACAUAUGGGGGUCUAUGGGGACAGUGAUAGGGACAUAUGGGGGUCCAUGGGGACAUUGGAGGUGACAGAGGGGACAUUGGGGGUGGCAAUAGGGACACGUGGGGGUCUAUGGGUACAGUGAUAGGGACAUAUGGGGGUCCAUGGGGACACUGAGGUGACAUUCGGGGACACAGGAGGUGGCAAUAGGGACACGUGGGGGUCUAUGGGGGCACAGGGGGGGGUAUUGGGGAGACAACAAGGGGGCAAGAUAUGCAAAUGAAGGAUCCAUUUAGCAGCCUCUGAUUGGCUGGAAAGGAGAGGCUGAGUCAUAACGAGCGGCUCCAAAGGGCGCUCGCUGAUUGGCCCGCGCCGAGAGCGCUCAGCCAAUGGCAGAGCGCCGUUUGGAUCCGCCCCGGCUGCGUAGGGAGCGGCGGAGCGGAGCGAAAGGAUGGAGGGGCCGCAGCAGCUCAGAUAAUUACACAGUAUAUAUAUAUAUCUGUAAUUACACGUAAUUAAUCAGCAAUUAAUUAAAAGCCGAGAACGGCCCCUGCAGGAAAACGAACGCGUUUCAGGACGGAGAAGAACAAAGGGGAGGGGCGGGGCUACGGUGCCCACGUGACCGGGGGGGG
ensembl:lncRNA